AAUUGAUCCGUUGCCAUCUCACUAUGUGGACUUGCUGUUUACAGUGUUAUAAUUAUAGAUGUGAUUCUACUUCCUCUUUAUUUGUUUGCUAAGGCUGUUUUUUUUUUCUUUUUCCCUUUUGGUUCUUUGUUGAGGGUUUUGUUUUCUUCUUUAUCGUUAACAGUUAAGUAUAUAUUGCUUGAAUUAGUUAUAUGUAUUCAUUUAAGAAGCAUUCUUGCUUACAUGUAUGUUUUGACAUGUCUCAGGAGUGACGAACUCAGUUUAUCAUGGGGCUUUGCAAUUCAGGUUUGAGCAUAUAAGCUUGGUGUCUAUUGGCUUGCUGGUGAAGUUUUCAGGGGCUUAAAAUUUAUCAGGGUCUCGAACUUGAUAUUGACCGGUUUGAUCUCCAGAAAGUAAAAUUACCGGCCAGGUUGGUAAACAUGAACAUGAAAUCCCUAUAUUUUGGUAACAGAUGGAUUCAAGUUGAGAACUUGAGAUCUAAACAUGGUCUUUGAUCUUUCAUUCUUUCAUAUAAUGCAGUUCAAGCUUGAUAUGCUGGACUGUUUGAAGAAAGGUAUGUUAUAUAUGUUAACCUUAUUCCAUAUUCCCAUUGCAGUUGUCAAAAUGUUUUCUUGAUUAUUGUGUCUUACUGCAAGUAAUAUAGUUUGGUUUUUUAUUACGUCCUUCAAUUUUAUUCUUCUUUAGUAUGAGUCAUGUGAUUACAGAUAAAGAAAAUCACCAUAAUACAUUUAUAUGCUAUUUACUUCUGAACAGAUGAUGAGGAAGAUGGUACAAUAUCUGCGUUACAUGAUCUAGAAGCUAAAGAGUCUAACUGAGUACAUACAUAUUAACACCUGAGUUUCAAUAUGUUAUAUCGGGCCACACUUUAACACCUGAGUUUCAAUAUGUUCUCUAAGCUUCUUUCCAAAGCUGUUUUCUUCCAUAGGAACUACUUGGAUACUUACAAUUUCUCUACCUUCAUGUGGAAGAAUUUAUCAUCUCUGAUUUAUAUUGAGUUUGGGGGGUUAU